AAAAAAAUAAAACAGCACUCUAAUCCUUAACGCACUUUGAAAGAAUAAAAUUACAGAGAAUAUAUGUGCAUUUUGAGAGGAAGUACCAAGCAGUAACAACAAUAAUAAUACAUGGGUGUGUAUGAGAGAGAAAGAGAGUUGGGGGAGUGUGUAUGGGAGAGAGUGUGUCAGUGCGCUGUCUCUUUAAGCCGAGCAUGCAGGAGCCUGAACGCUUGUUCAGUACAGCAGCAGCUGCAGCACCCACUCUUGAGCCAGAGGGAGCAGCAAAGCCUGGCUCCCUGUCCUGCCACCCCAGUUCAGCAGAGACUACGUGGGUGGGGGGAGGAGGAUACUGUGACAUCAGCCUUUGCCUGGUGCUGCACAGCAGAUCAGGAGGCAGGCUCCCAAUCUGGAGCAGAUUGGCCAGCAGCGGCUCCAUGUCAGUGCAGAGGUAGGGGCGGCAUUGUGAUUACAGAUGGCAGAAGGACAGGGCGGGGUGGGGGGAGAGAGGAGGAGCAGCAGCAUCUUCCCUCCAGCUUCAAACUUCACCCAAAUGUGACUCAAAACUCAGGGGAGGGGGGCAGAUAUCAUCCCCCCCCACCUCCGCCCUCCCUAAAUGGCAUCCCUAGGUAUUUUUUAUAGAUCAGUAUGCACAUUUUAUUUUCCCCAAUUCCAUUUACUAUUGAAGUGAUACCUGAGGAUUUGAAGCAGGGUAGUGGAAGAAGAGGUUUAUCAGUAGAUUGGAUUCUAAUGUACAACACCUGGAAUGCUGUAACAUCAUAGCUGCAUUAGCAUUAGAUACUUGCCCUAGGAUUAUUCAUUUCUCCCAGCAGGAACCUCUAGAGGGAACACUUUGUUAAGCCAUAUUGCAGAUGACUGAUUUUAGAUAAUAUAUUUUUGAAGUUUAGCAUAUGGAAAAUGUUUUAUUGGAGAACUGAGAAGUGGAGCUGCAAGAGUUUUAAGGCAAAGGUGAACAUACACAAGGUGGGUGAGAUAAUAGCUUUUUUUGUACCAGUGUCUGUUGGCAAGAGAGACAAGCUUUCGAGCUUACACGGAACUCUUCUUCAGAUCUGGGUUUGGCUUUGGUAGAUCUCUAGCCUGGCAGUACUUGCAGGGACGGCUUUAGGCCAAUUCCACCAAUUCCCCCGAAUCGGGCCCCGCACCAAGUGGCAGGGCCACCCAGAGUGGAGGGCAAGUGGCAGAGAAUCCCUUCCCUGGCUAGAGGCGCCUUUUUAAUUUUUACUCACCCAGCGGCGCUCCAGGACUUUGGCGGCGGGUCCUUCAGUGCCGCCGAAGACCCAGAGCGAGUGAAGGACCUGCCUCCAAAGACUAGGAGCAUGGCCCGAUACUGUGGCUGAGGGAACUAUAACCCUGAAUUUCGUCUUACGAGAUGUCAGUUUUCAAGGAUACAGGAGGCCUAACAUCAAGAUGCAAUCAUCUAAGUUUCCCUGUUUUUCUUCACAAUUUUUAUACUAUGACUACUUGUGUUUACAAUUUGUCACAUUUAAAAAUGGGCCUGAUCCAACAUCCUAAAGCUGAACACACCUGGAGUUUGAAAAAGUUUGUAUGUAGAUCCAAAUACUGCAACUGGCCCUUAUCUCGAUUACUAGAUGAACUAUAUCUGAAGAACUUCAAACUCUAAGAAAUUUCAGAUGUGAAUCUUACAGUCCGGGCCCAUCUCUAGUUAUACUAAAAACAGAAAAUUGGAACAGCGUGAUGUAGACUGCCAGACUGUGUAAACUAUCCUGAAAUAACUCAUGAUGAUUCAUUUGAAUAAUCCUCUCUCACCUUUGUCAGACAGUGUUUAUGAAGCCUUAUUAAAAGUAAACCACACAGAAGAUUUCACAGAAUGAUAUUUGCCCAUCACAAAUGAUAUUUUCAAUUGCUUUCAGCUCAUUAAAGUCUAGAAAUCCCCAUUCUA